rnacentral:rRNA from 1 species
UACAGAGGUCCCGAGCGUUGUUCGGAUUUACUGGGCGUAAAGGGCGCGUAGGCGGUAGCACAAGUCAGUUGUGAAAUCUCCGGGCUUAACUCGGAAAGGUCAACUGAUACUGUGCGACUAGAGUGCAGAAGGGGCAACUGGAAUUCUCGGUGUAGCGGUGAAAUGCGUAGAUAUCGAGAGGAACACCUGCGGCGAAGGCGGGUUGCUGGGCUGACACUGACGCUGAGGCGCGAAAGCCAGGGGAGCGAACGGG